AAGUCGUAACAAGGUUUCCGUAGGUGAACCUGCGGAAGGAUCAUUAAUGAAAGUCUGGGCUCCGGCCCUCUCUCUUCUACACACUUGUGAAUCUACCCUGUUGCUUUGGCAGGUCUCCACUACGCUGCGGACGAAUGUCUCGGUUCGGUGGUUAGAUCGAAUGGUGCCUGCCAAAGGACACAUCUCAAUACCCUUUUUACAUUCGUCUGAUUUUUCGUUUAUACAAAAUAAAACUAAAA
rnacentral:misc_RNA from 1 species